UCGGCAUUCACUUGGGAAGCGGCGGUCGUCAGAACUAUAAUGAUGGCGCCACUCAAGUAGGGGGUAUCUUCAAAGAGGUUUUUAUGUUUUCGGAGCUUAUGUGCAACAAAAAUAACGUUGAAAAGUUUUAAAAAGGCGUAAGCGUAGUUAUAAUUAACCCUACAUAAGUGACGCCGUCAUUCAGCAAGCAACUUUUUUAAUACAAGGCAUCCUCUAAAAUUAAUAACAAACGCCUAAUUGCCGAUCUUAAAGGCCGAGUACAAAGACCCUUACACCUACGUAGGCAUCGUCGCCAUAGAUGACCGGCAUUUCGCGCUCAUCUGGCAGGCACGGGAAAUCUAGGAGGCGUUCACUGGGAGAACACGAGACGUGAAGCUCAGUGCUGUACAGGUCAAGUGUAUACCAUGCAACAAGAGCUUCACUGGGCCAAAAAGUUAUGCGGAGCACAGGGAAAGCAAGCAGCAUCAAAGGCGCUGCGGUGAAAUCCCCUCUGUCGCAUCCCCGCCAUCACGUCUACCAAGUGCACCAGAUUUGUCCCCGUCGCAAAAUCCUAAGCAGCAAACCAUACAAGUGCCUGACAUGCAAUGAAAGAUUCCCUGGACCAGAAAGCUAUGAAAAGCAUGGGGACUUCAGUAUCGACGGCAAAGGAUGCCUCUCUGGAGAACUCUCUUCACCCGCAAUCAAAAAUUUAAUUCAAUGCAACGCCUGCAAUACCGAUAUCUCUGGCAUCCAGAACAUGAAGGAGCAUGACAAGGGAAAAAAAGCACAGAAAGGCUUUGGUCGUGCUUCAGGGCUCUUCCUCGGUGUGCCUUGAUGUUCCUGCAGACAAAUCAUGUUCAUCAUCUUAUACAGUGUAUAAAGACAUGCCAUCAUCUCCACUGAUGUUGCGUAUGCCAAAUGUUCAGUCAUUAGAAGACGAUAAUGAUUUCUCUCUAGAAACCAUUGUCGUUGGACACUCUAGAUCCAAACACUUUCAGCUCGAACCCCCACAAUGUUCCUUCUGGCUCAAUAUCAUUUGCUGCCCGUGUUCAUGUUUCUUCCACCAAUAAUAAAGGGAAGCACAGUGAGGCUGUAAGGCCUGUGGAGGACGGAGACCAGGAGCAAUGUGUAAACCUCAUAAGCAGUGCGGAAGGUCGCGCUGCCGCAGACAUUGGUGUCAAUCCUGUUUACAGUGAUAAUGGGACGAAAUGCGAAGUGGGUGGCCUUACAGGGUACGGUUGUAAGAAGUGUGGCAUCCUCUUAUUUAUAAAUAUAGAGGCAGCAAAGCAGCACUACAGAAGCGAUAGUCAUAGGGCUGCUGAGUGCCCACCUCCCCCAUUUUUUUAAUCAUUUUAAGAAAUCUUUUAGUUUUUUAGGCUGCAAAAAAACAUUUGCGAGCUUGUGCUAAUUAUGUAUCUGUCGAAUCUACCCCGUGUUCUUCGUUAAACCUUGUGUUUAAACAGACUAGCAUGUUAAUUGCAUUUUAUUUAUAAUUUAUAAGGAGUUCGACAUUAUUUGCCUCUACCCAUUUCCAGGAU